AGAGUUUGAUCAUGGCUCAGAGCGAACGCUGGCGGCGUGCUUAACACAUGCAAGUCGAGUGCGCGCCUGUAGCAAUACAGGUGGCGCACGGCGCACGGGUGCGUAACACGUGGGUAAUCUGCCCUUCGAUGGGGAAUAACUCGCCGAAAGGCGAGCUAAUUCCGCAUAACAUUCCGAGAACCUUGGUUUUUGGAUUCAAAGGCGUAAGUCGUCGGAGGAGGAGCCCGCGCACGAUUAGCUAGUUGGUGAGGUAAUGGCUCACCAAGGCUAUGAUCGUUAGCUGGUCUGAGAGGAUGGCCAGCCACACUGGAACUGAGACACGGUCCAGACUCCUACGGGAGGCAGCAGUGGGGAAUCUUGCACAAUGGGCGAAAGCCUGAUGCAGCGACGCCGCGUGGGGGAUGAAGCUUUUCGGAGUGUAAACCCCUUUCGACCCGGACGAAUGCCUCGCAAGAGGACUGACGGUACGGGUAUAAGAAGCCCCGGCUAACUACGUGCCAGCAGCCGCGGUAAGACGUAGGGGGCCAGCGUUGCUCGGAAUUACUGGGUGUAAAGGGUUCGUAGGCGGUGUGGCAAGUCGGGAGUGAAAUCUCUGGGCUCAACCCAGAGUCUGCUUCCGAAACUGCUGUGCUUGAGUGUGGGAGAGGCGCGUGGAAUUGCAGGUGUAGCGGUGAAAUGCGUAGAUAUCUGCAGGAACACCCGUGGCGAAAGCGGCGCGCUGGACCACUACUGACGCUGAGGAACGAAAGCUAGGGGAGCAAACAGGAUUAGAUACCCUAGUAGUCC
rnacentral:rRNA from 1 species